GACGAACGCUGGCGGCGUGCCUAAUACAUGCAAGUAGAACGCUGAAGCGAGGAGCUUGCUCUUCUUGGAUGAGUUGCGAACGGGUGAGUAACGCGUAGGUAACCUGCCUUGUAGCGGGGGAUAACUAUUGGAAACGAUAGCUAAUACCGCAUAACAAUGGAUGACACAUGUCAUUUAUUUGAAAGGGGCAAUUGCUCCACUACAAGAUGGACCUGCGUUGUAUUAGCUAGUAGGUGAGGUAAUGGCUCACCUAGGCGACGAUACAUAGCCGACCUGAGAGGGUGAUCGGCCACACUGGGACGGAGACCCGGCCCAGACUCCUACGGGAGGCAGCAGUAGGGAAUCUUCGGCAAUGGGGGCAACCCUGACCGAGCAACGCCGCGUGAGUGAAGAAGGUUUUCGGAUCGUAAAGCUCUGUUGUAAGUCAAGAACGGGUGUGAGAGUGGAAAGUUCACACUGUGACGGUAGCUUACCAGAAAGGGACGGCUAACUACGUG
rnacentral:rRNA from 1 species